rnacentral:rRNA from 1 species
UACGGAGGGGGCUAGCGUUGUUCGGAAUUACUGGGCGUAAAGAGUGUGUAGGCGGUGUUCUAAGUUUGUCGUGAAAUCUCCCGGCUUAACUGGGAGGGUGCGGCGAAAACUGGAAUGCUAGAGGAUGGGAGAGGUAAGCGGAAUUCCUGGUGUAGCGGUGAAAUGCGUAGAUAUCAGGAGGAACACCUGUGGUGUAGACAGCUUACUGGACCAUUUCUGACGCUGAGACACGAAAGCGUGGGUAGCAAACAGG